rfam:Picea glauca, whole genome shotgun sequence.
ACAUGUAUACAACAUAGUGUUAAUGCACUGUAUCGCAUUAGAACUUCAAAGUUAAGCGCACUCAGGCUAGAGUAGUACUGGGAUUGGUGAGCACCUGGUAAGUCCUAGUGUUUUACAUGCA